AUUGAACGCUGGCGGAAUGCUUUACACAUGCAAGUCGAACGGCAGCACGGGGCAACCUGGUGGCGAGUGGCGAACGGGUGAGUAAUAUAUCGGAACGUGCCCAAUCGUGGGGGAUAACGUAGCGAAAGUUACGCUAAUACCGCAUACGAUCUACGGAUGAAAGCGGGGGAUCGCAAGACCUCGCGCGAAUGGAGCGGCCGAUAUCAGAUUAGGUAGUUGGUGGGGUAAAGGCUCACCAAGCCAACGAUCUGUAGCUGGUCUGAGAGGACGACCAGCCACACUGGAACUGAGACACGGUCCAGACUCCUACGGGAGGCAGCAGUGGGGAAUUUUGGGACAAUGGGCGCAAGCCUGAUCCAGCCAUUCCGCGUGCAGGAUGAAGGCCUUCGAGUUGUAAACUGCUUUUGUACGGAACGAAAAGGUCCUGGUUAAUACCUGGGCUCAUGACGGUACCGUAAGAAUAAGCACCGGCUAACUACGUGCCAGCAG
rnacentral:rRNA from 1 species